CGGUUACGCAGUUCGUACACAAGUGGACUCUCAAGAGGAUUGUCUCUCCAAUCAAGCAAUUGUUUUGUGCCACAAAAAUAUUAUAACUUGUGAAAUCUUCAUUGUGUUUUAAAAAGUGGAAAAAUUAAGUGCAUUCGAGGAGUACAGUGUGCAGGAAUUGGCAAAAGUACUGGAAAAUCACCUGGAUCCUGACACUGUGGCCAAGCUUGAAGAUAAGGAUGGAGAAUUAACAGU